AUUGAACGCUGGCGGCAGGCCUAACACAUGCAAGUCGAGCGGAUGAAGGUAGCUUGCUACCUGAUUCAGCGGCGGACGGGUGAGUAAUGCCUAGGGAUCUGCCUGGUAGUGGGGGACAACGUUUCGAAAGGAACGCUAAUACCGCAUACGUCCUACGGGAGAAAGUGGGGGAUCUUCGGACCUCACGCUAUCAGAUGAGCCUAGGUACGAUUAGCUAGUUGGUGAGGUAAAGGCUCACCAAGGCGACGAUCGUUAACUGGUCUGAGAGGAUGAUCAGUCACACUGGAACUGAGACACGGUCCAGACUCCUACGGGAGGCAGCAGUGGGGAAUAUUGGACAAUGGGCGAAAGCCUGAUCCAGCCAUGCCGCGUGUGUGAAGAAGGUCUUCGGAUUGUAAAGCACUUUAAGUUGGGAGGAAGGGCAGUAAGUUAAUACCUUGCUGUUUUGACGUUACCGACAGAAUAAGCACCGGCUAACUUCGUGCCAGCCGCCGCGGUAAUAC
rnacentral:rRNA from 1 species